GCCAUCCAGCGUCCGCGCGCAGCAGCGACUAACGGCCAGCGGCGAUGUCCAAAACGCCUCUUUCGUAACAGUUUCAACGCUGUCGUGUGGGGAGGAAAGUCACCCUAAAUAUUUCAUCCGCGCGAUGUAAGAGAAAACCGGGAAAGAUCUGCACGAGACUUCACAGAACUAUUGAUGAUGGUCUUCACUUUACCAUCUAGCACCUCCAGCUGUGCCAGAAGGGUUCAUAGGUCAUUGAAUAGAAGAGAAGAACGGCAACAUCCAACAAAGACUUUAAUGUCGUCUUGUGCUGGACUUGAUGAACAAAAAGGAUCCAAGGCGAGGUUGUUUAGCACUCGUCUAAGAUGUUUGCCUGCCUGCUUUCAACGCGUCUCGGGCCCUUGAGCUGAUUGAGCUCCAGCAGCACGUUCCCUUCAAAGCACGUCAAGAUUCUCCACGCACACUAAUGAGGUAAAUGGAUGGCUUUUGUUUCCUUCACAGUUUUAACCCCCCCCCCCCACCACACACAACACACACACACACAAAAUGCUCUCACGAGUUAUACAAGAGCUGUUGUGGAGCCCUGAGCACUCAAAUCUGCAACUCUACGGAGUGAUCGAUUUGCUCUGCAAUAUUCAUCUGCUGCACGAGUGUUCAUGCAGACUUCUCUGUUGUGAAAAGGAAUUAAUGCAGCAAUUUCAAACGUGGGUGCGCAAGCAUUAGAAA